rnacentral:tRNA from 1 species
GGGCCGGUAGAUCAGCUGGAAGAUCGCCACCUUCGCAAGGUGGAGGCCUCGGGUUCAAAUACCGACCGGUCCA